rnacentral:lncRNA from 1 species
GAUGCGGCGGAGGUGGCGGCGCCGGUACCGCGCGAAGGAGGCCGCGUUGGCCGCCGUCGCGGCGGCCGCCACCAGGACGGCGAGCUUCGCCGCCGCCGCCAGGAACGCCGGGAGUGGCAUUUCCACAAUACUCGCGCGCUCCCUCUCCCUUCCUCCCUCCCUCGCGCUGUGGUUUUAAUUUAUUUUCCUGGGAAUUUUUUUUCCUCGGAGAAAUAGGAGUGGCGGGAACCAACGGGAUCCCCCGGGGAUGACCGGAUGAGGAGGGUCAGGUCGUUAUCGCUCGGACACGUGGCGGGAAGAGAUGGUGCGCGCCAGAUUUUGCCGGGGCCAGCUGGGCCUCCGCGGGGGGCCCACUUGGCCCGUUUUGACACGCUUAUUCGGAGUCAAACAAGGUGUGAUUUAUGCAUGGAUUCAUAUAUGGUUUCCAUCAGUCUACACAUGGAAUGAACUGAUUUUUAACAAAAUUUUGCAGAUUAAAAUUUUAAAUUAGAAAAAAAAAGGAUUCAAAAUUUUAGUUCUGACAGGAGCUCCUCCCUGUUUCCCUUUUUUUGUUCGUUUUUUAGCGACCGGAAUGUGUUUGACUGUGAUCAUCCCUCGUAGAACCAUCACCUCAUAAACUGCACAUUUCUUGUUACUUCUUAGAGCAGAUAAAUCGGAUUUUGUGCAGCCACACAACGGAGAAGAAACGUCGCGACGCCGGCGUGGAAAACAUGCGCACAAGUUUGUGGCUGAACCAGAUCCGAAAGAUGCCGCUCACGGCUCACGUCCACUCAAAAUUUCGCCUUGGAUUUUAGCGUAUUUCGUUAGGAUUGUUGGGGUUGGAUUUCGUAUACGCUAAACUCUCUGCUGCUUUGGCUCUUGUCAGUUUCUUACAAGACUACUCCCUAGAGACACAAUAGACACAAUGGAGAUACGGAAUGGAGAAUAAUGAACUGCUAGAGGGACAGUAAGACCUUGGCUCCUGUCACAUAAGAGAUUUGGAUGCUAAUUAAAAAUAUUAAAUAUAGACUAAUUACAAAACUAAUUGCACAAUUAAUCUAAUUCGCGAGAUAAAUCUAUUUAGCCUAAUUAGUCCAUGAUUUGAUAACGUGGUGCUACAGUAACCAUUGCUAAUGAUGGAUUAAUUAGGUUUAACAAAUUAAUCUCGCGAAUUAGCACAUAGGUUCUGCAAUUAGUUUUAUAAUUAACUCAUAUUUAGUCCUCCUAAUUAGCAUCCAAACAUCCGAUAUGACACUGCUAAAAUUUAGCACCUGAUAUUCAAACGUCAAUGCUACUACACUGAAUCCAAAGCAAAUGAAAAUGAGAGAAAUAAAAACUACGAAAUGUACAUGGGUCGCUCACGGGCCGAAUCUGGAAAAUCUUAUCCAGCCCAAUUAGGAUCGACCUAUCCAGCCCAAUAACGGGUUCUACUUGGGCGUCGCUGCUGACGACGACGACUUCGUCGCUUCCGCCGCCGGCGAGGCCUUCGCCGAUUCCGUCGCUGACGCAUUCUUCGCUUCCGACGCCGGCGUCGUCUUCGCCGCCGUCGCGUUUGUCGCUUCCGCCGCCGGCGCCUUCGCCGCUGUCACGUUUGUCGUCGCUUCCGCCGCCGCCGGCGCUUCCGCGGUUGUUGGCGCCUUCGCCGCCGCCUGCGGUGCCGCUGCCGCUUCCGUCUGGUUCCCCUUCUUUCCUGCUUGGCCACCGGAGGUGACGGACGGCGGCUGGAUCCACGAGUCGCCGAAGAUGUAGUGCGCGCCGACGAAGGGCUUGGCCUGCUCCUCCGUGAGGUCGAGCGCCCACCCCACCCGCUUCUUCUUCUUGGCGUCGGCGCCGGCGCCGAAGCACUUGAACUCGCCGUAGUAGAUGCCGCUGCUCUCCGGCUUGGCGACGUUCCAGCCGUCCCAGCCGAUGGGCACCACCUCCUCCCCCAUCUCCGUGUACGCGUACACCACCCGCGACGAGUCCCCCCAUGCCCGCCCCAGGUAGAUCUGGCCGCCCUUGACGCCGCCGAUGCUGCAGUUCUUGAAGGAGAAGCCGGAGUCGAUGGCGCCCUCGAUGGACUUGGUCCGCUGCUGCGCCGUGAGCACCGCCACCUCCUUCACCACCGACUCGAUCCGGCAGUCCUCGUAGAAGGAGCGGCCGAAGCCGAAGAUGAAGUCGACGCUGCCGCGGAUGAGGCAGUCCUUGAAGUAGUGGAGCCCCUUGUGGUCGUACAGCGUGUCCUGCCCGCCGUCGAUGGUGCAGUUGUAGAGCGCCGCCUUGGUCCCGAACAGCCUCAGCGCCACCGCCUGCCCGCCCUUGGCGCCGGGCUUCGCCAGCGGUGCGUCGUUCCUGAACACCACGCCGUAGGCCAUGAAGUAGUCCGACUCGACGGCCACCGUCGUGCUCCCGACGGUGCCGACGGGCUUCCCGUCCUUGCCAAGCGUCGCCGCCGUGUCGUUCCAGCUGAUGGUGGCCGGCUUCAUCGGGUCGGACUUGAAGGUGAUGAACGGCUUGCUGAUGUUGAGGAAGAGCUUCUCGCGGAACACCACGCCGGGCUUGAGGUCCAGGACGACCCGCUUCGUGUUGCCGUCGGGGAUGUCAGCGAGCGCGGCGGUGAUGUUGGUGUAGUCGCCGCCGCCGCUGGGGUCCACGACGUACACCACCUUCUUCUCCUCGGCGGCCGAGAGGUUCGUGUCCAGGGUCUUGCCCCCUUCGCCGGCGGACUUCUGCGCGUACAGCGCCGCGUUCACCGCGUAGCUCUGCUGGUUCAGAGCGAUCCAGUUGCCGAACGACGCGCCAGCACCGCCCCCAGCCGCCGCGGCCGGCAGAAGCGACGACGUGAGGACGGCGGCGAGGACGAUCAUCGGGACGACCGCCGCUGAUGAUGAUCGCCGCGCCAUUGUCGAUCCGCGGCGCAUGCUGGCCCGGCGGGUCUUCGUUCUCUCGACCGGGCACGAGCGUCUUUAAGGUGGGUGAUGGGCGGUGGCUGUUGGGCGGAGCGCGCAGGUAGCCAUGGGCGAGCUAAUUCGGGAGCUCCAUCGCCUCCAUGAGCGCGUGAACGCACGCACGUUGCGGCUCGCUUCUGAAUUCUUGCCGCUGUACUGCAGCUGCGGCUGCAGCUCCAUCAACACCGGUUCCUGUAGUUUUAGCAGGCUAGCUGUUGCAGGCAGCCGCAGCUGCAACAAUCUUUGGGCUGAGAUUGUUGUCCACAGAGGAUAUAGCCCACCUUUGCUGCAGCAGCAUGUCCACAGAGGAUAUAGCCCGCUGGCCCAAAGGUUUAAAAGCCCAGCCCACCUAAGCUGGCCGGACCAGUUUUUUCGGCCCAUAUGGACUAAUAGGAAGAAGUUUUUUUAGGACGCUCUAAUUCAUUCGAGUAAUAAGAAGAGAAGUAUAUUGUCUUUGGUUCUUUGUCCUCAUUUUCCACAAAUUCAUUCGGGUCAUUUUGAACUACAAACAGUGAUUUGCCCUGUUUUCUACAAAUUCGUCGGGGUCGGCUUACCCCGAUAAGAAGCCUCGGCUCCGCCCCUGACAAAUCGUAUGCCACCCCACACGACACUCGCUGACACGAUCCAAAUUCUCAUGAUGAAAGUCUACGCACCUCCGUGAUAGUUGCCGGAAGGGCUAGAAUUCCGCUAGGGGCUGCGAGGCGUGGACGGCGGUGAUCUUCGGCUUCCGUGCAUGGGGCACGCGGCGAGCAUCCGGGUGCUGGGGUGGAGGGUACGCGGGUGCGGGAGCAGGUGAGUACGGCGGCGUCGCGCGUGCUGGCAGGGGGGACGAGGCGCGGCCGUGAGCGGUGACCUCACGCCGUUGCUUUUCGCGAGAGAAAGCGAGCGGCGUCGGGGUGACGACGAUGAACAGCGGCAACGCGGGCAACUCACGCGAACUGCCAGCUUGGGCUGGGCUUGGCGUGGACAGCAGCAAGCAUAAGCGGUAGCAGGCCGCAUGCUGGGCUCACGCGCAGACAAGGAAGGGAACGUGGGCUGGUGGUUUAGCGUGGGAUCAUGUCAGGCCUCGGUAGGUUAGCAGGCUUAGAUUAGUUAGUUAACAGGCCGCGGCCUGCCUAGGUUUGUGCGUGGAGGUUAGCUGGCCGGGCUGGUUAGAGAGGAUAGGUUUGACUAGUUAGUCAUUUAGUUUGUGUUUGGAUCUAACAUUCAAAUACAAACGGCACUCAAUUAAACCCAAAGAAAAAUCCAAUAAAUCCAAAUCACUAUGUUUUAAAUCUGAUUGCACGAUUUUAAUUACUAUCUUUUGAAUUUAGGGAAAGAAAUGAAGGUUGACCUUAAGUUUGACCAUGUAUUAGUAUGAUUCACAAAAUCAAACAAAAAAUUUAAAUUUUUGUAAAAAUUAGCACAAUUAAUAUCACUUAAUUUUGAUGGGUAUACCAUGCACGCUACAUUAGUAGCCUCCUCCUUGCAUCUCCAAUUUAGUUUGUACCUUCCGAUUGGUCGAUACCAAAUACGAGCCAAAUUCAAUUCCCGCGCAAGUACGUACAGCACAGAGGAGAGGACUCGUAUAAACCCGCAGCGUGCGGCACUGUAUGUGCUCAAAUUUCAAAAGGCCGGCCUCUCCGACGGUCAGCGCGAAAAUCCAGUCGAGCGAGAUGGGUAUCUCGUCGGUCCUCGCUUCCCCGGACGUACGUACGAUCCCGCCGCCGCCGCCGCCGACGACGACGAAGACGACGAGCUCAGUCGUCAUCGCCCAGUGCGUCCGGCCCCAAUGAUUAGCGCAGCUAAUCACGCACUAACUGCCCGCGAGAACAUUCAGCAGCCUCUAAUGGCUCGUGGACCUUGCGUGACACUCCAUCUGCUGACUAGUCGCCGGUCGCCGUGGCCGGGAAGCCCUGACGUGGACGGCAGGGCGGACCACCCCGUGAUGAGCGCGUGCGAGCUAGCUGACGUGGCCGGCCUCCACGUGUCGGCUUCUAGAAGUGGCUGGACGGCAGGAGCCGUUGGCCCACUCGCGCUCCCGUUCCCAGCUGCACGGAUGCGGACGGGGGCCAAUUCCACCACGUGCGGCUUCUCGUCCCUUUGCUCUCGUGGUGGUCCCAGCGUCCCCCGAUCCAAACCCAGGCGGCCGCCGCCGGCCGGUGGCCUGAACAGCGGCGCGGCGGACCAUGCAUGCUGAGUUUCACACGCCAAGGUAGCGACACUCGAACCAUACAAAAUGGAAAUGAUCACGAUUUCAUUCCUCAAAUGUAGAGUUUCUAAUUUGUUCAAAUGAGUUCAUAAUUUUUGUUGCUGAAAAAAUUUUUUUCCCGGUUGGUACGGUCGUGUACUCAAAUUUACAAAGUGGGAGUUCACAUGCUACCUUACCUAAUUGUGUACUCGCGUUGGAUCUGUUAGGGUUGGAUUGUCAUGAUCGACGUAGGGUUUUGCUCUUAAAAAAAGGUGGCAUUUAUUCAUUCCACAUUUGUUGAUGGCGACGCGGAUAGACGUACGAACUCAUUUUGAUUCCCAGUGUGGGAGUAACCAAAUUGCCCAAGAACAGCACGUGAAGAAAGAAAGAAAACAGAGCAUGGCAAAUGUUACAUUUUUUAGAUAUUUUAUUUUUAGAAGAACUAAGACGAGUUAAGGAUAAAUUCAUUAAUCGACAAUUAUCAGUACACUUGUAAAUCAAACUAAACAUAUAUGAGAAAAAAAGGGGGAAAAAACCUAAACACUUGUAAAUCAGCCCCUACUACCUUGAGAGGCCAAAAAAAGGGGAAAGAAACUUAACAGGGAAGAAGCAAGAAGCUCCCAACAAAAAGAGGAAGGUAACCGAAAGAGAAGAAGAAAUUCCAAUUUUCAGUAUGUAUACUUCUGAUAUCUCUAGUACUAGAAUCUAUGAUAAAGUUAGAGCUAAAAUAGAAAAGAAAAAGAACGAACACAUUUUCUUGCUUGGUACGGUUCCCUUGAUCGUCUCCCCUCCCUUCUGCCGUUGUAUCACACACGCAUCCCAAUGUAAUGUGAUUGAUUAAUCGAUUGCUCGCAAAAAAAAAAAUGUAGCGACGAUAUGAUUGGUAUAUUCACUGCAUCCUCCAGAUGUCGUCGAGGCUCCAGAGCUGGGUGGUGGUCUCCGGCGAGACGCCGUCGGAGAAGCCCUGCACCCAGCCGGUGAGGUCCUGCAGCGGCAGGUCGGCCUGGAACUGGAACAGCUGGUGGUGGUGGUCGCCGCUGCCGGCGGCGGUGAGCUGCUGCAGCGCGGACGCCGUGGACCAGAACUCCUGGUCCUGCUGCUGCAUCGCCGCCCACUCGUCGUCGCCGCCGCCGCCACCGACCGGCACGGCGUCGCGCGCGGUGGAUUCGGAUGACGUGUGGGAGCUGGAGGACGAGGUGGUGGUGGCGGUGGUGACCGCGCUGCAGGGGGAGCGGUCGUCAUCGUUCUCGUUGUUCAUCAUCAUCGUCAUCACCUCCGGCACCGUGAUGAGGGUGGUGGAGACGGCGGCGCCGCCGGAGACGAUGGCCGCCGCCGCUUGCUGGUGGUGCUGGUGCUGGGCGGCGGCGGCGCGCUCGGCGAGGCGCGGCAUCCAGAGGAAUCGCAUGGCGUCCUUGAAGCGGGCGCUGUUGACGUCGCAGUUGAGCUGCUUGGCGUGCUUCUGCACCCGCGUCCGCCAGUAGUUCUUGAUCUCGUUGUCCGUACGACCCGGCAGCUGCGCCGCGAUCUUCGACCACCUGCAGCGCACAUGAUUUUUUUUUUUGCUUCAGUUCAUUAUUAAUGAUCCAUCAAAAUUCAAAACAAACGUGCUUAAUUACACUGCUAACCACUGUUCUGCGUGCGUACGUGCAAAGCAUCUACUAGUGUGAAAAAAGACAAAAAAAAAAAGAAAAGAAAAGAAGAAGCGUGCGGGUUGCGAACUUGCAGUACACCUUUCAGCGUCAGCACUCAGCAGCUAGCGAGAUAUGCAUGCUUAUUCAAACCGUAUACGAAUCUACGCUACGUAGUAUACAUGUACAUGUACAGUAGUCUCUUUUUCCCAAAAGCUACGACGACGAUACACACGUACAGUAUUCUCUGUUCGUGCAUGCGCGUCACGUCGGCCGGCCGGGCGGUGGCGUCGACGUCAACAGCAGGGAGAGACGGCGGCGCAGCGGCGGCCGGCCGGCGGCCACUUGCUUGCUUUUGCCGCGCGUACACACGAGUCUCUGAUACAUAACAUACUCCUAUAUGUAUUAUCUCUCCCAUCAUCACCAGCUAAUCACGGUAGCUAACAAGGAUGCUAAUAGAGCACGGACACGUGUCGACGCACGGUUGGCUGGCGUGCCACCGGAGUAAUGAUUAAUGACGAGAGGCAGUGACAGAGUAGGAAGCUGGGAGAGUACCGUACCGGUUGCCCCACCGGGAGUGGAGGUCGAGGAUGAGCAGCUGCUCGUCGGCGGUGAAGUCGCCGCGCUUCACGUCCGGCCGCAGGUAGUUGAGCCACCGCAGCCGGCAGCUCUUCCCCGUCCGCUUCAGACCUGCAGUUCAUUCAUUGCACACGCUCGUCAUCUCCAUCCAUCUAUCACAGAUUUUCUCGCCAAAUACAUACAUACAUACAUACACCCCCAAAAGACCAUACUUUAUAAUAAUAAAGUGAUUGCAAAUAUAUGCGUGUGCAAUGAAGAACUCCAUGCAUCCUUCUCAAUCGCGACUAUGCCGUCACAUGUUACACAUGUCUGAAGUUUUGUAUUUUAUACAUCACUUAUGUCGUACCAGCUAUCUGUCUAUCUAUCGCUACUAGAAAAAUAAUCUCUCGUCACUCAUAUCGUACCAGCUAUCUGUCUACCUAUCACUGCUAGAAAAAUGACCUCUCAUCCUGAAAGUUUGUACCUUUAGGCCCGAUACUAAUGUUAUAUCUGCUCAGCCGGUGGCGUCAGCCGUCAGCCCACCGGAGAUGAUAGAGACGAUAUGCAUGUGCCGCCAAGAUAUAGUUCGCUAAAAGGUGAUUACUUUACCAAUCUAUCUAUCUACGGUGGCGUCAGCCGUCAGCUCACCCCCACCGGAGAUGAUAGGGACGACAUGCAUGCGCCGAGACAUAGUUUAUCAGAGACGGCACGGGACGACGAUGACGACGACGAGGGUCUCUAAUCGCCAUGAUUAUUGGCCAAGUUGCCAACUUGCGCGGGAUAAUCCAACAGAUGCUACAGGAACAGAUCACAGACUCGCACGAUCAUCUCCUCUGCUUUUUUCCAUAGACGCACGACCAGAAACCAUGGUUUUUGCAGAGAGAAACUAAAUCGCUAGCAUCAUCAAGCGCGUCGAUCGAUCGCGUGCGUAUUCACGUACCGGCGGCGCGCGCGAGCGCGUUCCAGCGCCCCUCGCCGUGCUCGGCGAUGUAGUUGAUGAGCGUCAGGUCCUCGUCCACCGUCCACGGCCCGCGCCGGAGCUCCGCCUCCGCCUCCACCUCCACCUCCGCCGCGGCGCCAUCCGCGGCCUCCAUCAUCUCCUCGUGCUCCCGCUUCGCCCUCGGCAUGGCCAUCAUCGCCGCCGUGGCGGCGGUGGCGGCGGCGGCCGGCCUCGGCGGCCCGGGCCGGCACCCGCCGCUGAUCCCGGCGGCCCUCUGCGGCUGCAGCACCAUCUCCAUUAUCGGGAGACGAUACGAUCGAGCGGUGGAGAAGAAAGGCAGAGAGAAGAGCGAGGAGGAGUUGGGGAAGAUUCGGAUUAGGACUAGGAUGCCUUUUAUAGGGUUUGCUGGAGAAGAUGAGGAGGCGAAAGGCCAAACAGAUGGUGGUGGUGGCAGGGCAGAGGCAGAGGAGGAGGAAGAAGAAGACUGAUGGGACUGGGGUCACUCGCACACAACAAAGCCCAUCAGGAUCUUCUGUGGCAACACAUGACCAAAGCUAAGAAAGCUAUGCACUGGUUAUCUAACAAUCAAACAACCCUUUUAGAACAUUUAGCAAUUCAUUACUUUGUGUUCCUGGGUAAAUUAGAAACUCGUAACUUUUGUAGUAGCACGUGAAUUCGAUAUGUUCGCUUUUGUCCUUAUGGUUCCAAUUAAACCUGGGGUUAUUGCCCAUUAGAAUUUUCCGUUUCUAGAUCGCCACAGGUCAAUAUAACGAAGAAAAAUGUUCGUAAAAGAUAACAAAGGAAACAAAUUUCAUUGAUUUUUAAAACGAAUUUAGACUAAAACUUGCGCGCAUCAGAUUGGAAUCUUAAAUGCUCUCGAUUCUGAUUCACAUGGAAAUGAAUGCGAAAACAUAGCGCGUAGCCAUCAAUAAGUGAAUCGAACCCCUUGCCUUGUUUGCACACGUUCAUUUGCACAGUUGAAGGAGCUAGCCGCAAGCACGGAUGUUCUGUACGACAUGCCUAGCACCCUCAUGUACCGUGUUGGCUUAAUUCCAGAAGGAUUUAGUUGCAUGACAAUGGGGGCAUGUGACUCAUGUACAAGCCAUUUUGGAACGAAAUUCAUAGCACAGCAGCCUGUACAGGGCGAAGAUUAGGGCUGGGAGUUAUCAACAUGCCCAUGUGAGCAGCGAAAGGACCGCCUCCAAAUUCCUCCUCUAAUUUCUUCUCAAGGUUCUUCUUUUUCUAUUAUUUUUUUGAGAGAGAGGACUGCUUUGCCCUUUAUUUGCAGUUUUAUUUUCCACGCCUAAUUCACCGAUAAAAAGUUAAGUUGAUGAGAAAAGAUGUGUGCCAGAGCGAUGGUUCGGAUCAAGCAUGCUUCCAUGGGAGCUAGAUUGAUUUCGGUCACGAAAUGGUGGAUUCUCUGUUUUUUAUGGCAUCUGAACCAUUCUAUACGUUCGUUCCCGCAAAUUUGGAAAAAAGCUUGACUAGGAAUUUGAGGUUGGAAAAAUGUUUGAUAACAAGGGUGAAACGACUCUAUGGACCGCUGGAUUUAUCUUCCAAUGGUAUAGAUCGACACAGACCCCAAAAUAUAGGAAACCACACAAGCAGUAGUAUUCAUUAGUUUUGACAAUGAAUUGAGUUCCAGAUUCGACGUCUCCAGCGACCUUCUGACCUAUGGAAAACCCUUAUCUUCCAAUGAGCACCCAUCCAUCCCCCUUAGCCCAUUGGUGUGCCCAUCCAACCGGUUCCAUUCCAUGCAUGCACAAAACAUCCCAAUCACCCAUCACCACCCAACACACACACACACACACCCCUUGCAAACAAGUGACGGCAAUGCCUUUGCCCCUUGCAAGCCCACCCAUGUGAACAAUGUGAGGGUGCGUCACUCCUACACGCCUUCUUGUGUGUCAUCCAAAGAAAUGUAGGUGCCAUGACCAAAGGGGUGCUAAGCUCCCAUUUUUUGUGGAGGUAAAGUUGCAGAGGGACCUGUUGCCAUCAGCUGCCCAGUGAGGACUGCAGAAUGGACAACACAUUGAUGGAACAAAAAGCUAGGCUUGCAAGGUUCUAUAUACAAAAGGGUUAGAUGAUGAGGGUGGCACGCCACUAGUUGGAUUGCAGAUUAAUGGUACAUGUACUUGGUGAUAUGCCGAGAUGAGGAUGAUGAGCACCAUCAACAACAACGAAAGCCAUGAUAGCUAGCUGCUUGGAGCAAUGGAAAUUGACGUAGCAGCACCGGGCUUGUGUUACGUUGGUGCUCCAUCUCUUCUCUCCCUCGCCUUGCGACAAGUGGACCGAAUCUCCGAAAAUGGAAAGCAUAAAUCCUCAUUAUUGAUAUGAGCCGUCCGAUCAGAAACAUGUAACGUCAGUAUCACAAACAUCAAACGGGAGAUGAUUUUUUAUUGAAAAAAAAUCUCAUUUUAGAAAAAAAAUCGCAUUAUUUUAGAAAACAUGAUUGCAUCCUCCCCUCUGUUUUAGAAAACAUAAAUCGCCAACUCUUACUGUACGCUCAAAAGCAACAUUUGCAAAAAGAUAUAAAAAAUAGAAAUGCUAUGUUUUUUUUCCUUCUUGUUUUUCUUCGGCGAGAGCGCAGGUGUGGCUCCUGAAAGUCGUUGUACGUGGCAACAAAAUCCGAAGGAGCAGUCGUACUACAAGAUUUGAGAAAUAGACAGCUUGAACGUAUUUUACAGGUUACACAUACCAUUCAAAAUCCGUAUUUUACGCGCAAAAACGGUCACCGAAAACCGACAAGACAUGUAUAUUUAUACACACAUACAUGCAACUAGUAUGACAAGUCGACAACGACGCCGUAUUGUGUCCGUAUUUCCAGUGUAUCUGGACUUCCACGCGCAGUUCAAUUCUAUAUUACCCAUUGAAAAUUGUCGUCUACCCCAUCUGAGCCGUCCGAUCGAGAACCGACGGCCAGGAUCAGGUCACCGGAGUAGGGAAAAACCUGAAGCUCCAGUGUGAUCAGAUCGACCAGUCAAUGAGAGUUCGCUUGGAAGAAGCUACUCCAAUUUCGGGUGUCCUUUGCCCUCGUGCGCCGGCAAGAACUGCGGCCGGCCGGCUGGCCGGGAAGGGCUUCUCCCUCUUCCACGGCGGCGCCAUCGCCGUGAAGGUCACGUGCUCCUUCUCGCUAGCUAGCCUUCCUGGCUUGACGGUUUACCGGUUUGAAAACAUUUAUUAUAUAUGGUGACCCCCUGAGUGCACGUAAAACGACCAGUGUUUCAGACUGUUACGCAUGUUUCAGAGCACUAAUUGGAUUCACUAGCUAGAAGCAUUUCAGAUUGUCAUGAAUGUUCCUUUUGUUGUCAAUUCGAUCAUGUUCGGUAUGGAAUUCUAGUAGAAAAUUUGAAGUUUAAGUUUUCAACUGAGUGAUUCUUCAGAAGCUCUUUUACAGUGCAACUCGGAGUCUGGUACCGCGACAUUAGCUUCGUCAACAGUGAGAGGGAGAGAGAAAGAAGCCGAUUUGGCGACCUUGUAGUCGCCAAGUGUGCAAAGUCCGUCCAUACAAGUGGUGGACAAGUACCGACCUCAGAUCAUCGUCGUCGUCGGUCUCGCAGUCUCCUCCGCGUCGUUGUUCUUCAUUCACCACACCGUCUCUCUCUCUCUCUCUCUGGAUGCUGUCCAUGUUGUUUGCCUCCGAAAACCAUAGCAUGUCAACUCUUUUUGGAACUGGUAGGUAAAGCACAACUCCAACUUUGACAAAAAUCAGUUGUGUUGAAAAAACACAUGGAUGAAUACAAGCAGCUGCUGCAUAUGUUGUGGACAACAGCUGUACUGAAAACUACAUCUUGCCCAAGUUUUUGUUCCUUUUUUUGGAUUUCUCCCACCUAUGAGUGCACAAGUUCGUGACCUACAAUGGAAAGAACUGCAAAAAACUAAGCAUGAGCUUUGACUAUCCAAACACCUAUGAGCAUAGCAGAAUCUAGUGAUGGAGUAAGCAAUCCAUCCAUCCGCCUGUCACGGCCGGCGAGCCGCCGCCGUACGCGGUCACCGGCCGGCGGCACACAACUUCUCGUUCAUCGCCCUGAAAACUGUGGUCAGUUUGGAAACUGACGGGUGGUGACAAAGUCAUUAGGUGAGGAGGAUGACAGUGACGGCAAUUGGCUAGCUAGCUAGCUGCUGUUUUAACGGUUUUUCUAGCUCCCUGGCCGUGCGUGCUGACGAUUUCUACACGCAUUUGGCAUGCGUUGCUGGGAAAUCUGGUCAAAUUCAGUGGGAAUUGAAGCUGAGAAUGCAGGGGGGUUGCGAGCUUGACGGUCACCGUAGGGCACGAAUCACUGACCGACAGGUGGACUGUGCUUGCACGUAGGGGACACAACUUUGAAAAAAAAAAUGAAUUCCACAAGAAUUUGAUGGCACGUUAUUAUAGGGUAUAUACUUUUUUUUGUGUGGCUCCGAAUAGCUGGUGGAAAUACUAUUUUUUUUGAAAAAAAUGAAUUCCUCAAGAAUUUAAUGCAUCAGAAUGGAAAUAUUCAGUUAUAGCCUUGUGAGUUUGUUUGUAAAUGUGCAUCUAUUAUUCUCUUUGUGUGUGUGCCUAUGAAGUGUGGACAGAAUUUCAGUGCAAACUGGAGAGAGGGAAAAGCAGGGAGGGCAACAUGGAAUGCAUGAAGAAUUCCACUGCAUACAUGGCUCUUGUGCUAAGUUCCAUCAGUUCCUUUUUUUUUCCUAUCUUCUUCAGUUUGAUUUCUUUUCACAGUCUGACUCCAGUUGAUGAUGCUUAGAAAGACUAGGUGGUACAUUUGUUUCCCCUGUGGACAGCACAGAGUAGGAAAUGGGAGGGAAAAACAUGUUCCAGAAUCAUGCUGUCAGAAAGCAGAACAUCACUUCAGAACUUUUAUUCUCUGUGCACUAGCGGUAGUCAACCUUCUGGAAGCUCUGUUUCUUUGGCUUGCAUCCGUGCAUGACUUGGAUUAAAAAAAAUUGCAGCUUCAGAAAAUCAGAAAUGUUCUCAUAUUUGUUUUUUGUGCGCAUCAGACAUGUUCUUUUUGUUCCAUGAACAAUUUUUUUUCCCCGGCGAAUUGUCUCCCCUGUUUAAAUUUAUAAAUUAAAGUGUAACUUACAAAUUAAUUUUCUGACUUUUCUCCUUUGAACUUGUGGCUAAUGCACAAUAUGACCUAGAGGGAGUUGGUGUGUAGCAAUAAUUAGUGAAAGCAACCUGAUAUCCACCACACAGCGAUAUUUUAAGUACUGAACUCAUGUGACUAUUCUUAGUAUAUGAUUGCAUUAUUUGUCACACACAAAUUAUUCAGAAGCUCCUGACCAAUUAUUGGUUAGCUGACCCUAGUGUAUCAACUAUCUAGUGGCCAUUUCUUCAUGACAAAAACACUGAUGCUAGUGGUGACUGGUGAGCACUGAGCUGCAUAUUCAGGCUUUGAUACCCUGUCAGUGCCACACUGAACUCAAGGACCAGAACUGGACUAAAAAACAAUUCUGCUCCUAAAGUAUCAGUGUUCAUCAUGAAAAUCAUGCUUCUGAUUAAGAUAACUCCUUAUAUGUUAUUAAACAAAGCCUAAAGUUGCAUUCCAUGGAUAAGGCCACCUAAUCUUGAAUUCUGAACACCAAUCCAGGGUUACUCAACUCCAGCUAGGCACCUACCAAACUGCACUACCAAGAAAACUUUCUGCACCCAAAGUGGGGAACUAGUAGUGGGGACACAAAUGGGAAAUGCCAUUCAUCUAUUCAACGAAUUGUAGGUCCUGAUGGUCACCACUGAUUAUGACCAAAAGCUUGUGCUUAAGAGAAAAAUCACCUCUAUUAAAGUUAAAGGCAGGCUCAAAGCUGGAAAAUAAUCACAGAUUAACUGAUCAGAUUCCUUCACCUUUGCUUCCUUGAUGCAAACACUACUGGCUGGCAUGCCUUUUAAUUUGUACCAUUGCAAAUGUGAAACCAAAGGUGUAAAGUAGUGGAGAAUUGCAGAUACAUGAGAACUUAUUCUUUUCAGAGAGUGAGAAAGCAGCAGGAAACACACAAAAAUAAGAAGUGGUCUUUUACGGUACACAAUAGUACCUUAUACUACUGUUCGAAAAUGACUCGUAUGUAAGAAUCCGACGGUUGAGAUUAAUUGUAUACUACUAAAACCUUAAGUUGUAGUAUAGGUAGUAUGCAUGAGUAGUAUGGGUAGUAUAGAGGUAUGAUUGAAAAUAUGUAAAAUGGUAUUGUUGAAAUAUAUCAAAUCUUUCAGCAGGCGAGCGCUAGGAGAGGGUGUGCAGGAAAAUGGAGUGCGGAAACCCCCCCCAAAUAAUAUAUAUUGUGCUAAUUACAAUUUUACCCAUAUCAAAAAACAUCCUAUACUCCAUAGUACCACUCGGUAGUAAGAAGAAACCCUUUUUCAGUCAGCUGCGGCUGUGAUUCAGCAAAGUGCUGAUGCCCCCCAUUGUGAUGUGAUUGUUCCACUGAUGAUCGGUGUUCGUUCGAUCAGAUGCUCGACGUGAUGUUUACCACCUCUCUUUUGCCCCCCUAGGAUUUCAAAGGAGAUGAUGGCACCUUGCCAGGACGUUUCAUGUCGUCCUGCUAAUCAGUGGCUGUAAUUACGGAAGGUCUAUCAGUCCAUUCUCUUAAUCGCUUGCAUAAUUGAACCCACCUUUCCUUUCUUUAAAAAAAUUUCGACAGGAUUCCAAAGACCUCCACGUGUCUUUUACGAUAAGUUUCAUCAUCCAAUGGUUGCCCUGAAGUGAGAGUCGUAGAAGCCAAGUUAGUUAAAUGAAACUUUUUGCAAAAAGAGUGUGAGCACUUUUUGUGCCACACAGCUAAAAAUCAAAGUGGAGCACUUGAAGGAAAGAAAAAGGAGGCUGGAAAAAAAACUUGUGGCAAAGAUAUAUGCCGUGGAACUUGAUCGUCUCAUGUUCAUACGAGCAUGGCAAGUUGACAACGGGUCACCGGAUGGUAAGAGCAGACUCUUGCAGUUGCACUCCAGGGAGGAGGAGAGGAGUCGAAGCUAUUUGUGGCAGUCGUGCAGUGCAGGACCUGCAAUCUUAUUCAUUGCUACAAAUGCCCUGACGCUGCUGAACUGGUUUGUGCUUCCCGUCAAGCACGACGGUGAACUCGUCGAGACUGACUGACGGCUGCAUGCGCGGGCGUGUAGACUCAUCCGAGGCGACGACGACCAAACUCGACACACGGGUGGUGCAGAGGCCAGCGAGACCCGGCGGCCCAGUAGUUACUGCAAUACAAGAAGACUUGGGCCCACGUAAGCCCACGACCUCCAGCUAUUUGUCCGUUGAAGUUCCCAGCAGAAUUAAUUUCAGCGAAAAGUAUUCCUAGAAAAAUCAGAGAAAAGUGGAGGCAUGGACAGAUUGUGCAUGAAUUGGCUCCAAAAAUGCCAAGCUAUCAAGAGAGUUAUUCAUCUUAAGUUGCAGAAUUGAUGUGUUUGCAUUGUAAAUAAACUAUCGCAAGUAUGAAGAGUUUCUACAUUAGAUUGUGGAGUUAGCUUAGCUUACAAAAACAUUUUCUUGAUUGCCCUAGAUGAAUUUACUCGAUGUCACCUUCAAAUAGUUUUCUUCAGUGAAGCAGUGCUCUCUAACGCGUAAUUCAUACUAUAUGACUUUGAUAGAGUUGGAGCAAAGAACUGAUUAACUGAAUCAGAGAAAGCAACAUGAUAUCCACCACACAGCCAUCUUAAGGAGUUCAACUCAAGUGACUAUUCUUAGAAUAUUAUUCAACACGCGUUAACUAUUCAAGAACCCCUCUGACCAAUUAUUGGUUAUGCAAGUCUAGAGUGUCAAGUGAUCACUGGGUGUGGGCACUGGGCAGCAUUAGGCUUUGGUUACUCUGUCAGGGAAACAGAUAAAAAACAAACCAAAAAAUCUAUCCCUAAAGUCUGUAAUGUUUCCAUCAUGCAAAUCAUGCUUCUGAUUAGUAUAACACUCCUCAUAUAUAUUAAACAAAGCCUAAAGCUGCAUUGCAUGGAUAAGUCCAAUCAGUCUUGAUUCUUCAACACCAAUACAAGGGUUUCUCCAGCUAAGCAACCUACCAAGUCCAAACUGCACUGCCAAGAAACCUUUCUGCACCCAAAGUGGGGAACUAGUGGGAGGAAAGGGAGCAUAGAAGCAAAAUUCCAUGCAGCUACUCAGCAAAGCAGGUGUUGAUGGCCACAACUGCUGAUGAUGGCUAAAGCUUGUUCUUGAAAGGAAAGAAAACACCUCAAGUUAAAGGUUCGCUCAUAGCUGGAAAAUUUGUCUCUGAUGAAAUGAGAUUCCUUCACUUUUUGCUUCAUGAGGCGAACACUAGCGUGCAUUUUCUACCAUUUCAGUGUGAAAUCAGAAACUGAAAAAAGGUUGCAGACUAUGCAUGGAAGACUUAUUCCUUCCAGAGAGGGAGAAAGCAGGAAAUACAAAAGCUAUUGCUCGACGUCAAAUGACUUAUCGAUAACGCAAUUAAGCCGGAGAAGUUUUCUUUGUCUUUGAUUUUUGUUCUUUUUUAUUUAACUGUCUAAUGUUCUUGGUCUCUUGGUUUCAUUCGUGAUCGACCUGUUUGAAUUAUGCGCCUAUUUUGUGUAAUGAUAUUACUUGCUUAUCGGGUAGUUGCACGGUCAACUUUAAAACUUUGACACCUCGUUGCUGGCCACUAAUUAUGUUAGAAAAUGUCCUGUGAUGUGCGGACAACAGAUUUGAGAGUUGUGGUGAGGUAAAACUGAAAUGACAGCCUCUGCUAAUGAAUUGUUCUGAACAUCUUCUCGGCCAAAAAAGGAAAAAAAACUCUAAGACACUCUGCAUCAUCUAAAUUGGGUGCGUGGUUAACUUUAGGAUGUCACGGUCAAUUCUUUUUUGAAGGAGACACGGGGAAUAGCCUUCUCCAUAUCCUGACAGGACAAGCUCUAGCUACCCAUGGAUAAAAAGGCCCAGUUGUUAGAAAAGAGAUGACGGCCACAACAGUUCAGGAUGGGCAUUAUUACACGACCAAAUAUCAUAGACGACAAUGACAAGUGAAAAACGAGAUCGAACACAGAGACGAAUUUAACGUGGAAAAAUAAUUGAGGAGAAUUUAUAAGUAGGAAUGAUACAUGGCUCAUCUAAGAUGUCUUACCCUACCGUCUACAUAGGACGUACAUAUAUAAGGGUGGAAUAGAACUCACGUAGGAAUAGAACUCUAUCUCUAGAGAAGAUUUUGGAAUCAAAUCCGGUAACACAACUACUACUUAGACUAGAACUCGAAUCAUAUUUUAACAUGCGUGAUGAUCACAUGAUCAAUUAUCCAUGAUCUCAUCUGCUAUAUUUUGGGUGCGUUUGGCAGAGCUUCUAGAGCUGAUUCUCUGCUGAAUUCAGCCGCAGCUGUCAAACAGUUUUUCAAAGAGAAGUGAUUCCCUGAAAUGAACUAAGAGGCUGGGAGCUAAAAAAAGUAGCUUCUCAUGAUUCUGUGAAGUAUUUCUCCAUCUUGAUUUUAAGAGUUUAUGCUAGAGAAUCAAAGAGAAUCACUUUUAAUCGCAGAAUCACUUCUCUCAGAGAAUCGGCUCCCGUAGAGAACCAGAAGAGAAUCGACUCCCGUAGAGAACCAGAAUCAGAUGGAGCUUUAGGACCUCUCCAAUGUUGUGAGAACCCCAGUCCUAUAACGUUUAGGAGCCGGUUUUAAACAUUGCAGGGUCGGUCCUAUAGAAAAAAUUUGAAGGACCGACUCCAUGCAAAGGACCUGGUUCUAAGAAAUAAAAAACUGAUUUCUCUCACCCACCCUCUGCUCUCUCUCUCCUGCCGUUGCCUCUCCCGCCGCAAAGGGGAAUUGUUUUUUCUUUUGUUGGUCCCACAUAUGGAGUUACCCUGGUUCUAAACAUUGAACGGUUUGCAACACAACAAAUCAACUCAAUCGUAGGACCCAUCUAUAGAACCAGGGUGGUUCCAUACAUUGCUGGUGCCCUUACGAAACAGAUCCUACGUGCUUCAAACUCUCUGGCGAUCAGAAACCUGUUUGCUACGAGACGUCGUUGUGAUUCAGCUAAGGGCUGUAUCGUGCUACCAAUGAUGGAUUCUUUGUCCAGGGUGUGUUUGUUGGUGUUGUCCAUUCUGACGUGAUCGUUCCAGCGAUGUUCGAGGAUCAGACAGAUAUAGACAUCACGACAUGUAGUUUGUAAAUGACAAUGAUGAUAAUAGAUCCAACUUUGCAUCAUAUGUAGUGGACUCAUAUGUAGUGGACUCGUCAAUAAUUCAUCUGGCUAAGCAUUGCGAUGGCCAGAUGGCACAUGUGCUAGCUCGAGGAUGGCUGCAGCAGCUGCGUGCACUCACCAGCGUCAGGCAUCUCGAUGAGCGUCGUCUGCGAACGUUUCAUGGGCAGGCAGCGUCGUCUUCUCCUCCUCCUGUUUGUCCGUCACACGUACGUCGGCGCUCUGUUACUCCUCAGCGUCCUAGACCCAUUAUUUCCAUGCUCUGUUACUCCUCGGCUGCUUGGUUGGUGGCGAUAGAAAGCCACGCCAACCAGUGGCGCGCCACAGUCCGUGACGGCAAAAAUCGGCGUAGAAGAUUUGGCGACCGUGGCGAGAAAAAACAACAGAAGAAUCAAUGGUAAGUUGUAGCGCGCAAAAAGCAAGUAAUUCAACACACUUUCCUAAAUUAUUAUGGCUGCCAAAGUUAUGGUGCGGCUGCGAACUGAGCGUAACGUAGCUGGUAAGGUUUGUUGUGGUGGAAUCUACCCAUCAGGACUUGAGUACUCGACUCGAUACUUAUACUUACAUUUUUCUAGAUUUAUUUCAUAUUCCUUCAAUGCUUUCAGCGGUAAGGGACGUGUCCGUCGAAAACGAGGGUGUUUGUGGUGGCUUUGUCAAUUUCAAGAAUUUAUCGGUUUGGUCUUUCGAAGAUGCUUAUAAGGUAGGGAUGCGUGCUUAUGGUCGUAGAUGUGAGUGUGCAUAUGUGUAUAUGAGUGUCUGCGUCUCUACCGUGUGAUUCGAAAUUCGAAAAGUGGCUAGUUGUGGCUGGGAAUUAAACAUCCAAAGGUGUAUGGAUUAACGGACUCGAGAGGAAUUGAUUAUGGGCGUGGUUUCAAAGCCAUCCGGCCCACCACAGCACAAGAACUGAGGGAUCCGCCCAAUGGGCUCGCUGCGAGCAGGCUGGUAUCUUUUCUCUGCGCUUAGUGGGCUUCUUUUCCUUGUGAAGGCCGCCGUAAGAGAGAAAGUCGGCGUUGGACUAGAACUAAGAGAAAGUGUUCAGCUGCCGAGGGUGAACUCGUUGAUAGUGUUACGAAUGCUUGAUGCUGCUGACCUAAUUUGUGCUGCCCGUCGAGCACGACGGUGAAGUCGUCGAGACUGACGUUGCAUGCGCCGGAGUGUAGACUCAUACGAGCAGUGGCGAAGUUAGAACAAAUUAGAAGAGAGUGUGCUUGCCUUGUGGGUGCAUAAAGUUUAAAUGUUAUGAAUGCUAUGGUGAAAAAUAGACCUUAAUUACUGUUUUGCAUUUUUGUUGUGAGUGCAUGUGCACCCGUAAUCCUAACGUAGCUUCGCCCUGCAUGUGAGGCUACGACCAGACUGGACACUGGCUUACCACACGGGUGGUGCAUAGGGAGCUCCUAUAUAUCUUCAGAAAGAUAGAUAAGCAACUCAUCUUAAAGCCUAUUUAAGUGCAUGUAUAACAUUUUCAUCAAUAUUUUUUUAAAAAUGUCUGACUUAGUUGUUAUAAUUUUUUUUAAGAUUAACAUUUUUUUACAUAUACCAACCUUUUUCUCUAAUUUUUUUGCAUUUAUCAAUAUUUUUUUACAUUUACCAACUUUUUACGUAAAAGAUGUUGAGAUAGUUUGUUCGACCUUAUGGGUCAGUUAUUGGGCUGCUACUAGGUUACAGCUAGUUACCUAUCUGCCGAAAGAUGAAUAGAAUUUCCAGGUGCAGGGCCUGUGAGACUCGGCCCAGUAGUUACUACAAUACAGGAAAACUUGGGCCCACUUAAGCCCACCACCUCCAGCUAUUUUUUUUGUCAGACUCCUUUUUCCCCUUCCGUCAGACCGCGAAAUCAUUUUUUACUGAGCGAGCAUAGGUGGAUCAACGUGCUUGGCUGCCCAUAUUUUUUUUGUUUCAGCAUCGUCACUUGCAACGGGAUGCCAAGCAUCAAUAGGCAGCAACGUUGCGGGUUGCAAUUACACCAUUCAUUACAUCAUAUUAUGGUGCACAUGAAUGUCGUUACUUGCUGGUUGUGACUGUACCGGUAAAGCAUCGUUAUCAGAAUCGAUAGGCUUACUGACGUGGCAUGGACUACUCCAAAAAGGAGAUAUGACAGCCCGUGUACUUGGGUAUAGGACGACGUAUUUGAUUUUACUAAGAAUAGAACUAGUCAGAUAGAUGAAAAUACUUUACUAAGAAUCACCAUAGAAUCACUUCUAUCUUGAAACUGGGCUACUCCUAGAUUUAGCCUAGAAGUUGCUUCGGGAGCUCUGUCAAAUGCGUCUUUAGAUUUGUUUACAAUUCAUAAAAGCAUAGUACUUUUACCGUCAAAUCUGACUCCCCAACUUCUUCUCGAAAGCCAUUAGGCCAUAUACUUCCAUCGAGUACUUCUUCGAGAGGAAUCACUAAAGCAACUUGUGUUGUCAAGUAUGCUUCGCCUAUGCCAGAUCCCAGGUACAUAUCUAUACAGCACAAAAAUAGUUGCAGAUAAACUACUCAGGGAGAGCAUCUGAUGGGGUCAUAGCAAUCCGUACACCACUUGCAUGUACUGGAUUCCCGUGUAUCUAUCUCCACAACUCAGAAAGAAUUAUACAGAUAACUAUUCAGUGGGAGCAUCUGAUGAGCAUUUGAAGGGAUUUUUUUUGCAAUACUUAUGCCUAGUUCUCGUAAUUAAGGGGGCUACCCAGAGUACACUAUGCAUAUAUAAGGAAAUCAUAUCGACAAAGAACAUACAGGCAAUUCAGAAGUCGAAAAGACUACACACUGAAUCUGUAUCAAACUUGUUCAUUGUUUGCAGCUAUUAGCACGUGUGCGAACAGAUCGGUUGUACCUCUUCUCUUAGAGUAUUACAACAAGGUUUAUCGACCCAUGAAACUUCACCAUGGAUGAUUGUACAUCACUAACUAGGAUCCUUACCUUGAUGUGUUGAUUCUAGCUUCAGAACUCCGACAUGGAUCUUCUUGGUAGGAUUACCACGUUGGCUAGGGCUUAGUUUGGCUAAUCCCUAGACAACUGCACGGACCUCAGCUCUUUGGAAUGGUGUCCCUCAGGCUCCUCUGCUUCUUUGGUGCUUGGAGAUGAAUGUGCUGAAUGGAUUCCUCAUGGCGAUGGAGAAUGGGAGUAUUUAUAAUCUGAGGAAGCCAUGGUAGAAAUGGGAAGUCAAGGGGAUAGGAAUGGCCCAAGCUGAUCGGCUAGGGUGGGUCCAGGCCGAUCGUUCUGGUCCUUCCUUUUAGCCUCUCACACCUCCCUUCGUUCCCAAGUCUUAUUUGAAGUUCUAGAGUCUUCUUUUCACUUGCAUGUGGGCCUGGCUCAACGAUAACCUCAGGAUAAGAAUGAUUCUUGAUAACGUUCCUAAUCUUCACUUGCUUCACUUUGAUCUUGAGAUUAACUUGCUAUAUCUUUCAGAAACUUAGCCCUUAAGUCUUCUGGAGGAUUGCUCGCCAUAGAUAAGCACGAAUGGGCACUUUGGGCACCAAGGCUGACUGGCUUGGGCUCCAUGGGAUGAUCAACCUAAUCCCUUUUUGGGUCCCCCGGUCUUUGUCUUUCUCUAGGUUAUUGCUAGUUCUAGGCCUCAUCCAGUUAUUCUCCAUUAUAGUCCAAAUUCCUUCUACUCCUUGCCCACAACCUGCUUCUUACUAGUGCCUUUCUUCUUCAUCCUCUUCACCCGUGCAUCUUCACCGUCAUUCUCCUGGGGGCUAGGUAUUGGGGAGGUAGCAGCGCUAGGGCUACAAUAAGUUUGAAGGCAAAGAGGCGAGGUUCAAGUGAAGUGAGAAGCUAACUAUUCCUCCCCAUUUAUAUAGAAGAGAUCCGCUGUUCCUCCUCAAAGACACCGGUCAAUCUAAGCAGUCUCCAAUUUUCUUGGAAAAAGAUUAUCGUGUUGAUCAUUAUUUUGUAACUGGUUAAAAUUCUCCAAAUUCAGACGUGGGAAAUACAUGACCCUUAUUCCUACAAAAUAGUCGGCUCAAGACUUGAGGGCUAUGUGACACAUGUUCAUUAGUCAAAUGUUUAAAUUUUUCAUGUGAAGCGGAUGAUGAUUAUGACCCUCAGCUUGAUUCUGCGAUUCAACCUAAGGCUUGGGGCUACUCCAUAUAGAGUGUGACUUGUGUCACCCUCCGUAUCGAAUUUCAAUAAUGAAGAUAACAAAAUCAAGAAAAAUGGGGCUUGAGCACCACAACCUCGUCAUAACUUUGAUAAGUAUACUUGAAGAUCCAACCAAUGCAAGUUAAGUACUUGGAAAGAGGUAAAACUAAUUGGCAAGGAUCUGAAAAGUACUCAGAAGGCUACAAGACUUGACUAAAAAAGCUUGAGGGCUUGAGAUACCAGGAUCCGUGGGCCUACUAGCAUGGCAUGGACUACUCCGUAAAGGAGAUAGGACAACUUGUGUGCUCAGGAAGGAAACUACGGUGCAGGAUGGCGUAAUUAACUUUACUAAGAAUAGAACUAGUCAUAUAGAUGGAAAAUACUUGUUUGCAAUAAGAUUAGGAAUUCUCUUGUCUUAACUUACUAAGACUUUAGUGGCAACCCUAUGUAGAUCAAUCACUCCCAAUAGAAGGCAAUCCACCAAACAGGACGUAGGGUACUAUGCUCUUCAGUAGCACAAACUUGUCUAAAUCGUGUCUAGUGUUCACCUUUGAGUUAUGAUCUAGGCGAAACCCCUUCAAAUAAUGUACUACCUCAUGGAAUCUCUCAGUAUGUUACUGGUCUAAACACCGCUAGUUUCAUACCUUGUUGGGUAUGAAGGCAAUGAACAUGGCAUAUGCAUUGCAUUUACAUUAUGUUUGGAUUAUAUAUUCCAGUACUAUGCAUUGACAUGGAAGUGGAUACGGGGAUUACUAUUUUCUUCUGAGGUUCAUAAGCGGUUGUGGUUUAUUCAAUUUCCAUAUGAGGAUGACUUUCAUAAUGAUAUGGCUUUAUCUAUAUAUGUUUAAAUUGAUACCUAAUGAAGUCUUAGUUUAAAUAACUCAUCAAAACGACUUGCUUGUUGAGAUUUAUUCUCACACCCCUAUAUCUUUAGGUGCUUGAGUGGACGCUUUGCUUGAGGGAUGGGAUUAGCUGCACGUUACCACAUCUUUUUUCUCACUUUUCUUUUAUAUUAAUAUUGAUACUUUUGUCUUCCUGUAAUGAACAUAUAGACCUCAUGGUGACCCUUUUGAAUUCGUAAUAAUAAGUGUGGGAGACCUUUAUUAAUUGUUUUUUAUUAAGUUGCUCAAUAAAUCCUAAUCUAUGGUUUACCUUUAAUUAUCAUUUAUGUUGUUGCUUCCGAGUUUUGCUCUACAUGUGGUUUUGCUGCCGAGUUCUGUACUCCAACAUGUGGGAAGAGCAUUUAGUGACACCUUAGGCCUUUGUGGCACAUGGGGUCUUACAGUUUGUUACAACUUUCCUUGGCUGCUAAGAUUACAGCAACUUACAACAAUGAGAGGAUAAUAUCCUACUUGUACAUGGUGAUGAUAUAUUAAACAUAUAGAUUCAAUAAUAUGUUCUUCUUCUCCUGCUUCUACCCUUAUUAUAUGAUCAACAAUCCCUUACAUUGGAAAUUUACAGUAUAACAAUAUCAUACACAUUUAUAUUAAACGUUCAGAACUUUUAAUACCACUAUGGAUGGGGUGAACAAUCUAGUAUUACAUAGAAUUAAAUGCUCCAUGGAUUGGAGCGUUAUUUUCCCAUAUAUAGUACUUCUACCCCUUAUAGAGCUCACUCAGUUUGGAGCUGCCUUUGUGAACCAUAGUUGACAAGUGACUACAAAACAGACAUAGAACAUGUCAUACAGUUUGUCGAAUAGGCUGAAAUAGGCAUAUCUCCGUGUCUUCUUAAACAGAAGGCCACAAAAUAUUAUCCAAAGGCCUACCAAGAAUCCCAUGAUCAGACCGAGAUGAAAAUCGAUUUGAGCCUUGUCAUCUUCAUGCGAUAUGACGGGAUCUCUUUGUACUGGCGGCUGAUCUCCAGGACAUACCUUUGGCAGUGGACGUCCACAAAGACCAGGAUUGCCAAUGUACAUUGAAGUAGGAUCAUCUGCCCCUAGAGUGUCUAAUUGAUGUCCUGAGGGUAUUCUGCCUGAUAGGUUAUUGUAGGACAAAUUCAGAUAGCUCAGUGAAGUCAAAUUUGACAAGCACCAAGGAAUUUCACCAGAAAGUUGGUUGCUGGACAAGUCGAGAGACUCCAAGCCUUGUAGAUUGCCUAUCUUAUAUGGGAUAUUUCCAGUCAAGAAGUUUGAUGAUAAAUCCAAAUUUAUUAGCCCAAGAAGUGAGCCUAUUUCUUCAGGUAUUUUCCCGACUAACCUGUUGUAAGAAAGGUCAAUGCUCUUAAAAAAUAUGGCAUUCCAACUGUACUGAAGCACUUGUCCUUUAAUUGCCAACGAAAAGCUAUCACCAGAUAUACCCAUAUAAUUUCCCGUAUUCCCAAAACCUUCGUCGAAAGGAUUAUCAAAAUAAUCAUAAUAAUCAUCAUCCUCAGUGGUAGUGAGAGCUUCCAAGUUCGCAAGAGAUUGUGGUAUAACCCCAGAGAAAGUGUUGUUUGCGAGAUCAAGAAUAUGAAGAUAAGAUAGCCUUGUUGUUUCAAUCGAAAUAUGACCUGAAAAGUAGUUAGAUCUUAGCCGUAACAUUACCAAUAUAGGCAUGUUAUCACUUAUCCAGGCAGGUAACUUUCCACUGAAUCUGUUUUGACUUAGGUCGAGGUAUCUAAGAUUUUGGCAUUGUUUCAAGAAUAAAGGAAAUCCACCUGAAAGACAAUUGUUGUUUAGAAGGAGAGUAUGGAUUUUCAAAAUGUAAGAAUGUGCAGAGCCGAAGCCGACCCUUGACGAGUUGCUCCUAGAUUGAUUCUUUUGUUUCAACCCUUCUCUGUCACAAUCAGGUAGUCCCCUUGUAAGCAGGUUGUUUGAAAGAUCUAAGAUAUGCAAUUGAGGCGAUCGACAAACUGAGUCAGGAAUGAUCCCAGUUAUACGAUUGGAAAACAGAACUGCAGCAUGUAAAUUUGGGCCUCCAAAAUUUGAUGGAAGUUGUCCAUUUAAAGAAUUUUUUGAGAUGUCCAAUAAGUAAAUGCUUCUUGGUAACCUUGGUACUGAACCAGUUAAAUUAUUUGACUGGAGAAGAAGCACUGUUGAAGACAUGAACUCCAAAUUAAGAGGUAACUUACCAGCAAUUUGGUUGUAAGAGAGGUCCAAAGAUGUGGCAUUAGAAAAUGUAGUCCAAAACCAAUCUGGGAUCGUACCAAUGAGACCUGUGUCUGAAAUGUUGAGGUAUGAAAUGCUUUUUUGCCAUCGAAGCCAAUUAUGGAUUUGACCCAAAUAACAGGAUGAUAAAGCUGCCGUGUGCAGAUCGAACGGGGGUUCCCAAUCCGAGCCUACCAUGACUUGAAGAUGUGUAUGAGUCAAGUCAAUGUGCUUCAAAUUCGUCAAACCAGAGAAGUGUUCUUCUGAUAUCACACCACUGAAGCCAUUAUCACGAAUCCUCAAUAAAGUCAAAUUUUGUAACGUUCCAAUCCCCACAGGCACAGAACCGCUCAAGUGGUUGUUACUCAUGUCAAGAAUGCUUAAGGCAGUGAAGUUGGAUACUGAUUCUAUUAUCGUGCCAGUGAUGUUGGUUCUAUCCAAAAGUAGCUCUUGCAAACUAUUCAGGGAACAUUUUGGUAUCCUCUCCAUUAGAUGUGCUAUAUCCCCACUGAUAUUGACCCCGUCGAGGUAUAUAUUCUGUAAACUGCACAUUCUGUUCAGUGUUGAUGGUAUCAUCCCCUGGAUUUCAUUGGAUCCCAUAUCAAGGGUGCGCAACUUGGUCAAGUUACCCAAUUCGUCAGGAAAGGGGCCUAACAAACGCGAGUUAGUUAGUUUUAGACUCUUGAGGCUAGUCACAUCCCAGUACCAAUUGGGUGCAGCAGGACUCUGAAAAGAGUUAAGGGAGAGAUCCAGAUUUUCAAGCACCGUAAGGUUUUUGUGUAGAAGUGAUGGGAUGGAACUAUUAAGUUCACAACCACUGAGAUCUAGAACUCUCGAAUUUGGGAGGGUGUUCACCCAAUGAACCCAGUCAACCGCUGCGCUAAGGUCCACAGUGCUCAUGUCAAGAUGCUCCAGCGAGUGAAGAUUUGCUAACCAUGAAACAUCUGAUGCAUAUGAAAAUGGUUGAUUUAUGUUGAGGUAUUUCAGUUUGGUGAGGUUUCCUAGCUGAGGAGGUACUCGACCACCGAAAUUCAAGUUUGAGAGGUCGAGAUAUGUCAAGCUCUUGAGAUAACCCAUGAAUUCCGGUAUAGGCUUAUAACCCCCGAGGUCAUUUCCGCUAAGAUCUAGGUGCUUGAGAUGGCGUAGGGCAAGAAGAGAUGAACUUAUCUGACCGCUCAACCCCUGACCAAGAAUGUAAGAAGGAGGAUAAGCAGGACCAAAAUAAUAAUGCUCUGAGAGCAAGUUAUUGCGGAGGUCGAGUUUGACGACGUGACCUGUCCUGGUGCUGCACCUCACGCCGUACCACAGGCAGCAGUCUUGGCCUCGCCAAGAUCUCAGCCAUCUGCCGGGGUCGUUCGUGAUGCCGGCCUUGAAGGAGAUUAGCGCAUCUCUCUCGGCCGUGAUGCAGCUGCCUGAUGCAGAAGAAGCGGCGACGGCUGUUGUUGGCGCUGGGGAAAAGAGCAACAGGAGGCACAUGACAGCUGCAGCUCCAUGAAAGGAGGCACAUGAUCCUGGCGUUACAGCCAUUGUGUGUGUUCGUUGUGCUGGUUCCGUUUGCAGUGCUGCUGGAUGGAAAACUGGCAAUGCAUGGAGUGUGUUAUGCAGUCGAUCUCAGCUUUAGCAAGUCUUGGAAGCGUAGGUAUCAAUGACAUCGGAGCACGUGGCUGGCCAUCCAAUGAGUCCACCAGAAACGCAGUGUCUUCUUCUGCCAUUUAAUUUGCCCUGGCAUGCACGCUACUCCAGUCUACCGCGGCUUAUUUGUGGCAGUCGUGCAGUGCUGAACUGAUUUGUGCUUCCCGCCCGUCAAGCACGACGGUGAACUCGUCGAGGCUGACGCGGCAUGCGCCGGUGUGUAGACUCAUGAACUCAUCCGAGGCGACGACCAAACUGGACACACGGGUGGUGCAGAGGCCUGCGAGACCCCGGCCCAGUAGUUUACUACAAUACAAGAAGACUUGGGCCCACGACCUCCAGCUAUUUGUCCGUUGAAGUUCCCAGCAGAAUUAAUUUCAGCGAAAAGUAUUCCUAAAAAAAUCAGAGAAAAGUGGAGGCAUGAACAGGUUGUGCAUCAAUUGGCUCCAAAAAUGCCAAGCUAAUCAAGAGUUAUUAGUCUUAAGUUGCAGAAUUGAUGUGUUUGCAUUGUAAAUAAACUAUCACAAAUAUGAAGAGUUUCUACAUUAGAUUGUGGAGUUAGCUUCGCUUACAAAAACAUUUUUUUGAUUGCCCUAGAUGAAUUUACUCGAUGCCACUUUCAAAUAGUUUUCUUCAGUUAAGCAAACUAUGACACGUAAUACAUACUAUACUAUGAUACAUACUAUGACUUUGAUAGAGUUGGAGCAAAGAACUAUACUUCAAUGAAUUUACCCCAGUACUCUAACGCGUAAUACAUACUAUGACUUUGAUAGAGUUGGAGCAAAGAACUGAUUAACUGAUCGAAUCAGAGAAAGCAACAUGAUACCCACCACACAGCCAUCUUAAUUAAGGAGUUCAACUCAUGUGACUAUUCUUAGAAUAUUAUUCAACACGCGUUAACUAUUCAAGAACCCCUCUGGGCAGCAUUAGGCUCUGGUUACUCUGUCAGAGAAACAGAUCAGAAACCAACCAAAAAAUCUAUCCCUAAAGUUUUUAAUGUUUCCAUCAUGCAAAUCAUGCUUCUGAUUAGUAUAACACUCCUAAUAUAUAUUAAACAAAGCCUAAAGCUGCAUUGCAUGGACAAGUCCAAUCAGUCUUGAUUCUUCAACACCAAUACAAGGGUUUCUCCAGCUAAGCAACCUACCAAGUCCAAACUGCACUGCCAAGAAACCUUUCUGCACCCAAAUUGGGGAACUAGUGGGAGGAAAGGGAGCAUAGAAGCAAAAUUCCAUGCAACUACUCAGCAAAGCAGGUGUUGAUGGCCACAACUGCUGAUGAUGGCUAAAGCUUGUUCUUGAAAGGAAUGAAAACACCUCAAGGUUCGCUGUCUCUGAUGAAAUGAGAUUCCUUCACCUUUUGCUUCAUGAGGCGAACACUAGCGUGCAUUUUCUACCAUUUCAGUGUGAAAUCAGAAACUGAAAAAAGGUUGCAGACUAUGCAUGGAAGACUUAUUCCUUCCAGAGAGGGAGGAAGCAGGAAAUACAAAAGCUAUUGCUCGACGUCAAAUAAUGAUUUAUCAAUAAUGCAAUUAAGCAGGAGAAGCUUUCUUUGUCUUUGAUUUUUGUUCUUUUUUAUUUAACUGUCUAAUGUUCUUGGUCUCUUGGGUUUCAUUCGUGAUCGACCCGUUUGAAUUAUGCGCCAAUUUUGUGUAAUGAUAUUACUUGCUUAUCGGGUAGUUGCAUGGUCAACUUUAAAACUUUGACACCUCGUUGCUGGCCACUAAUUAUGUUAGAAAAUGUCCUGUGAUGUGCGCACAACAGAUUUGAGAGUAGUGGUGAGGUAAAACUGAAGUGAAAGCCUCUGCUAAAGAAUUGUUCUGAACAUCUUCUCGGCCAAAAAAGGAAAAAAAACUCGAAGACACUCUGCAUCAUCUAAAUUGGGUGCGUGGUUAACUUUAGGAUGUCACGGUCAAUUCUUUUUUGAAGGAGACACGGGGAAUAGCCUUCUCCAUAUCCUGACAGAGUGACAGGACAGGCUCCACCCAUGGAUGAAAAGGCCCAGUUGUUAGAAAAAAGAUGGCGGCCACAACAGCUCUGGAUGGGCAUAUGAUCACUAGACCAACUAUCAUAGACGACAUUGAUAAAUGAUGGAGAUGAUCAUAUGUCCAACUUUCUGUCAAAUCCGUGACGAUCACACAGGGCCAAUUAUCCAUGAUCUCAUCUGCUAUAGUUAUGUCUUAUGUGCGCCAAUAAUCUCUCUGGCAAUAAGGAACCUGUUUGCAGUAAGAUGUCGUACCUGUUCGCUUCAACUUAUCAGCCGGCUUAUCAGCCACCAAACGGUGUUUUUCUCUCACAACAAAUCAGCCGUUUCAACUUUUCAGCCGGCUUAUAAGUCCAGCCGAACAGACCCGAAUCAGCUAAGGGCUGUAUCGUGCUACCAAUGAUGGGUUCUGUUCAGGGUGUUUGUUGGUGCUGUCCAUUCUGAUGUGUGAUCAGACAGAUAUAGACAUCUAAGACUGUGCAUCAUCUAUUAAUGACUUGGAUGAUCAUAGAUCCAACUUUUUAUCAAGUGCUUGAUAACCAUGGUCCCAUCUGGAUGAUCAGGAGGAAUUGGUUAUGGGCGUGCUAAUCCGGCCCACCAUAGCACAAGAACUGAGCGAUCCGCCCAAUGGGCUGGGCUUCUCUGCCCGUGGCCCAGCAACGUAGUUCAAUAAGCAGUGUUAAUAAAUUGGGUUCUGGAUAGUCAAAGAUGAGGGGAUCUCUGUUGCUUAAUCCGUUUGCUCAUUCUUAUUGCCAAAGUGACGAUGUCAUGCACUGUACAAAUUAGAUCGUGUUGGCUGGCAUCAUAUGUGUAAUGUACAAACUAAGAUGCAUGACGACGACGAACAUGACUUCAAGCUCCUGCUGUGAACUCGCAUGAAGCUCGUCCAAGUAAUCCGCGCCGAGGUCCUCGAGCUCCAGGACGCCGCAGCAGCACUGGCAGCGCGCCAUCACCUCCUGCUGCUGCGGCGGCACCGCCGCUAUGGCCGUGGUCGACACGUCCGAGCUUUGGCAUGGUCGACACGUCCGUUUCCAGCCCUACUCGUCGUUUUCUGGUGUGCAACAAUUGAUGAAUAGUUGUCGAUAGAUGUCUGGAUUCCUCGGCUGAUGCGAAUGACUGCGAUUCAUGUACUGUUUCUGCAAGAAAAAUGUCAAAUCAGUACGAGAGAUAGUGACAAUGUGCUGUGACAAAUUCGGCUACCUAUUUUCACUGGAAUAUUAGAAACCAAAGUAUUGCCAUCUGGGUUUAUUUUUGCUCUUUAAUAUAAUGAAAGGCAGCUCUCUUGGCACCUGCCGGUUCGUUUUUUAAAGAAAAAAACAAAGUGUACUGGAUUGCAUAUUUGCAUCAUAUAAAAACACCAGAUUUUAAUUUUCUAUUAGACUAAGUGGCAGAGUAAGCUAACAAUUUUCAAAGGGAAUCAAGAGCCGAGAUCCUGGUUUCCCGGGGUGCACCACAGUUGCAUGUUGGAUAGCUGACAGAUGCGUGGAUUUGACAAUCGAUUCUGUCACAAAUUUUUGUUAUCAGUACGAGACAGACAUACUCUACAGUGAGGUGCUUCAAUAUGUUUUAGUAGGAAGUCACAAAAUGUUUGGUUUUGCUUUUGCUGGAAGGAGGACACUUUCAAUCGUGUUUUUUUUUUCUGUAGACACCAAAUACAGGACAUGUUUGAAGCCAAUUGCAUUGCACAGAAAAUUAGAAACGGCAACAAACAUUCACAGCGCUAUAUAAAUGUUGGCAGUCAUGCAAAGCACAACUGAAUGUUACGGUUUCUAUAAGCAAAUGCAACAUUGAGUAGUGUCCAGGAAAAACCAACUUUGGAAGGUGUCCUGUAGCAAAUUUGUCCCAUUACUAUUGAGUAGUGUCCUGAAUCUCUCUUUGGGCCUAGGGCCUUGUACAUGUACAUAUCAUUUACAUUUUAUAGAAUACACAAAAAAAUCCAGUAGGGACCUUCCCUAGUGUUUCAUCAAAAAAUAAAUCUAAACCAAUCUGUACUGUGUAUUACAUCAAACAAACCGGCUGUUAACUUCAUCUCUAUUAGACUAAGUUCUAGAGUAAGCCAGCAAUUUUCAAAAGCUGAUGUUUUCAUGCUGAAACUGAUUGAUAGGUACUUCUGUUUCCUGAAGUCAAAAUUAUACGGUAGCAAUGAUUACUGAUCCUAGGUUACAAGCACUUAGCACACACCUUUCUGCUUAGGUACACUGACCAGCCCGUUGCUUGUGUGUUGCUGGCCUGGAACUCCACCACUUAAUGUUAAUUAGCUAGCCUUUUUAAUUUCUCCAAAAAAAAAUGUUAGCUAGCCUUUUGUGAUUAAUGAUGCAUGUAAACUAAAUUAACAGAAGAUACCCUUACCAUUGCCUUGUUUCAUGCCUCCUCAUGGUACAAUACUCAAAAGUCAUCAAGGUGAAAGAAGUACACUGCCGAUCUAGAGCCUGGCAUAUGGUGAAACCUUCGGAGUUGUGGCAUCACCCCUGGACCAAACUGCAGCCCCAUGCAUGCCACUAUCCACACACCUGAGCCAGACCCUGAGACAUUGAAAGCAACCCUGCGAGCGAUUCUUCUUGCUGACGAUGCACCUUUCCUGGGUACCAUUGGAAUCUAAGUGGAGGAGGACCAGUUUAGGCAAUCCCUCAAGGACAUGCAGACCUUGAGUUUCAAGCUCAUAAACCAUGAUAUGCAGAUGCGUGAGGUCAUCGAGGUAGGCCAACUCCACUGGAACUUUUUGGACUGGGUUAUGAGAAAUGUUCAGCUCAUAUUUUUGCAGACGGCAUGAACUUUUGUGGCCUCGAAACGCCAGUAGUGAGUCAAGAAAUAGACCAGAGUAGUCGUCAACAAGGAAAAGGUUUGCAGGUUGCAGUUGUCAACAGCAGUAAGGAAACGCAUUAGUCCCACUUGGUCAUCGCAAUGUUCAAAUGUUACACCAAGCACCCUUAGUAGCUUUGAUUUUUCAAUAACCUUUCCUGCAUUGUCCAUUGAGUAUCUAUGGCUGAGAAGGAUCAUGGAUAGUUCCUCCAAUUGAAGCAUAUCACUCAUUCCUACCGGUAUCAUCACACGAUCAGCAAGCAAGGAAACUAGCCUUGCCAUCACUCGUGGAAAACUCACCUUUAGUUACCAACCUGGUAAGCCUCGUAACUCUCGAAAGACCAACUGGAACUAAUCAUUCGGGACUAAAGGCCCCUCUCUUUAGUCUCGGGUAUUUCACUCGGGACUAAAGACCACCUUUAGUCCUGGUUGGUACUACCAAUCAGGACUAAAAAGUUUUAAAAAAGUGGGUCGGCAGCGCCACAGCGCCGCUCCGCCCGCGCCGGGGAGGCGGGGAGUGAGGGAGGGAGGGAGGAAAGGGAGAGGAGGAGGCAGGAAGGGAGGGAGCAGAGAGGGAGGAGCGGGAGCAAAGGCACCGAGCGAGUUGAGGGAGCGGAGAGGACAGAGCAGAUAAGGGACAGAGAGAGAAGUCAGAGAGACAAGGGAGAGAGAGGACCCUUUUAGUCCCGGUUGGAGCUACCAACCGGGACUAAUUCAUUUUAUCCCGGCUGGUGGCUCCAACCGGGAUUAAUUCAUUUUAUCCCGGUUGGUAGCUCCAAUCGGGACUAAAAAGUGUGCUUUUUAGUUCCGAUUGGAGCCACCAACCGGAACUAAUUCAUUUUAUCCCGGCUGGUGGCUCCAACCGGGAUUAAAAGCUUCACUUUUGUCCUGGUUGAAACCACCCAUCGGGAUUAAAAGUGCUCCAACAGAUUAUAAAAUUUAGACCUGGGACUAAAUCUCUUUUAGUCCUAGGUCAAAAACAACCAGGACAAAAAAUGUUAGAUGGAAGAUUUCUUCUCUACCGGUGCGUGUUAAGCUCUGGCAAAUGCUUCAGCCAGGUUUGCCUUAUAUCUAAGAUUGCCAAGUGCUCCAACGCCCUUCAUUUGUUUAGGCAGCUUUGUGACAUCACUCCCUGUGAGACUCCACCAAGGUUUACAAUUUUGUUUUCAACUUUUUUUCGUCACCAUCAAAAUUACUGAAAUUCGCAAAAUUUCGUUGAAAUUUCAUUGAAAUUUUUAUGGUCUUCACCAAAUUAUAAGAUUUUCGAACUUUUUUGAUCUAAACAAAUGAUCCAAACUUUUUCAAAAUUCGCGAACUUAUGUUUUAUUUGUGCAAAUUAACCUCUCAACUAUCUAAACCGGUACAGUAAUCAUCCCUAGCCGGUUUAAUUACGGUCUAGCGCCAGAUUAUGCUACAUAAUUUGCUGACUAAUGACUACAUAGACACAUUAGCUGAACUCCAGCGGACCAACAGCACCAGCGGACCUCUUCCGUUUUUCCCUCUUUCCUUUCAAUCUCUUUCUUCCUCCCGAGAUCCACUCUCUCCUCACCCUUUUCUCUUCAAUCCGGUGUAUGUGCAGGCUCCCGGCGGCGCCCCGGCGAGCCCCCAGGUAGCGCGGUGCCCGCCGGUGCCGGCCUACGGGAGCGACAAUGCUCGGGGCGAGCUCCACGCGCUGAUAGGAGUGGCAGCCCGGCGACGAGGUCCACGGGCGGCGGGUAGACCGGCAGCGUGUGGGAGACGGGACGGGCGAGCCAGGCCGAGCCCAGCGCUCCCCGCGUAGGAGCGGGUGCGGCGGAGCAGCGACGGCCCCCAGCAAGCUGCUACGGCGGAGGCGGUGGCUGCCCGCGGCGAGCCGCUGUGGCGGAGCUGCGUCCGAAGCGCGACAGCGGCCGCCGGCGAGCGCCGCACCACUAGUGGGAAUGCGAGUCGCUUCGCUUGCCUUCGCCGAGCAACUACUGCGCCAACUGGAAGGACGGGCUCUCUCGCUGGAUCGAGGCGUACGUCUACAUCGUCGUGCAUGGUCGAUGUCGUCUCUAAGGGCGGCCACGAGCGAGAGGACGGAGCUGCUGGCGCUUGAGGACGGGGGACUGUGGCAGAGAGGUCCGGACCUGGAACACGGCCAUCAUAUCUCUGGGGCAGUGCGAAACGGCGAGCACAUGAUCAUCGGCGUCGAUCGAGCUAGAUGUUCCGCAACACAUGUUCAGGGAUUAAUAAUCCACCCUGCAUGCUGGCCCAACUCGAUCAGUCGAUCGCAUAUUCCGGACGUCUACAAGCAUAUUGCUAGCGUGCAGUUCUCGUAUGUCGGUGAUAACAAGGGAGGCUAGCCAGGUGCAACGCAUGAUUAUGAAGACUGAGAUGUGCUUCCAUCAUUUUGUCAGGAGGCUUUAAUUUCCGUUCCACAUGCGCAAGCUUUGGGGCUAUUGUGAGCUGUGUGAGAAGGUGUUUCAAGAAGUCGGGCAAAGUAAGACUUUUAUUGAUAGAAUGCCUGUAAAGUCUGACUCUCCCAUCCAUACGGUGUGGUCGUGUUGAGCACACUGCUUGCUUCUUGCAGAGUUCGCGAUGGUACUGUGUACUUCACUACGUCACAAAUGAUUUGUGCAUAUACCUAGAUUUUUGAGUGCUGGCAGCACUAGCACAAAAUAUUAAGAACUGUCAACACAAAUGCAUUUGUGUUGGCGGAUGACAUAAGCACCCGCUAGCACAAAUGACCUCCAUUUAUGCUGACGGGUGACAUAAGCGCCUGCCAAUGCAAAUACUUUUCAAUUUACAACAAUUAAAAAGAUCAAAAUGUUUCUAACUAGCCAAAAUCUUUAUCUUACAUAUCCAAAUAUAUUUUAACAUGUAUUAGACUAUGCACAUAUUGUUGUAUAUUGUUUGUACAAGAGUUUAAAAAAAUUUAGAAAUCAUUUACUAUUUUCUAAGAUUUAAAUGGUUAUAAGCAUGCUUAUUGAAAUCAAUUGAUAUUUGAACUAUUUUUUUCACAAAUAAAAAUAAAAAAUUCUAGAAAAAGUGACUUUAAGGACACAUGUUACAUCUUAGCUCAAAUCAUGAAAGUACAUGAAACAUUCAAUUUUUUGUUAGGUAUAAUUGUCACUUCUAUUAAAAUCUGUCAUGAAAAAAAAUUCUAAUAAUAUCUAAAUGUGGUCUAAAAAUUAUAUAAAUUGGUGGGGAAUUAUUUUAGGAGUGAAGAACCUUGACAUAAAAAUUUCAAUAUGUUUUAAGAAAAUUGACUAUACAUUGUUCACAAAAGUAUAGUUUACUUACAAUAUUUCAUAUAACUCAAGUCAAACUUCCAGGAUGAAAUAUAACUUCUCAAAAACAAUCAUCAUAUAUGUCCUAACAUAAUUUUAACAUGUAUGAUACUAUAUAUAUGUUCUUGUGCAGAAGUUUCAAUAACUUUGGAACUGAUUUACUUGCAUUAAAAAUGAAAAGAAAAAAAUAGAAAAUGUAAAUGGAUUUGUACCAGCAGGACUAAUGACACCCGCCAGCGCACGCGCGCAGGUUCGUGGACUGAAAUUUCAUGCGCCGUGCAUCUUUCUUAAGAUGCCUUUGGGACCCACUCACGCAUGCUGCCAUCCACACAUCAACCUUAUCUUAUCUACCUCCGUGGUUCCGUCUGCUAUCUGCAUCCUCUCCUCUCCUAUCUCUCUUGCUUCUCUCGGUUCUGCUCCUCUCAUCUCUCUAACUCUUGUGCCUCCCAUUUGCAGGCAAUGAAGAACACGGGGCAGCAGUUGUGCGGGGGCACAGGCGGCUAGUGGGCUGGUGCGGCGGAGGCCUUGCGAGCCCGCUCUCAGGAACGGCGUGCUUAGCUAUGGUGGUGGCGUUUGGCCACGGCACGACACAGGUGCAACGGACUGUUGCCGGUGCGAGCUACGGUCUCAGCAUUGCAGUUGGUGGAUCUCUGUAGGUGGCUAUAGAAGAUGGCGGAGCAGCGGCUCGCGGCGCGGGCGACAACGAGGGCCAGCGCCAGCGGAGGUGUGGCUGCCAAGGCCGACCAGCCUGGGCGACGGCGAGCAGCGGCCAGCUGGGGGAGAAGCAGCUAGCUGUGGUUGUAGGGGAUGUAAAGUAUGAGACCAGCUGUAGUUAGAAACUAAGCAGAGUAUGUGGACUAUGCAUGUCAUCACUUCCCGUACGUAGCAAGGCAGGAGCAUAUUUGUCAAAGAAAUAAUUGACGAAACACUGUCACAACAAAUCAAAGUACAAAACAAAAUACAAGGUCCAACACUGAGACCAGCAACGUGUGGAGAGGAGCGAGUUCGCGUAGCGUUGUAGUAGUACUGUUGCCUUUCGUUUCUUAUUGCAGUAGUCCACCAGAUCAUCAUGGGCACGUACGGUAUGCAUUUCUGAUUAUUCUCCGGAUCACGCAUGCAUGUACGUGCUUGUAUGAUGAUGAACAGUACAUGCUUGCAAUGUCG